rnacentral:rRNA from 1 species
AUGGCCAGUCCGCUGUCGCCUGUCUUCUUCAUCACCAACUGCCGACGUGAAAGCAGGAAGUCAACUGCGCCUCCGCGCAGGACCACCGGCGCCGUCCGCUUCAUCGUCGUCAUGCACGACCACCAGCGCCGUCCGCAUCAUCAUCAUCACGCACGACCACCGACGUCGUUGUCACGCACGGCCGCCGUCGUCGUUCGCCUCGUCGUCGACUUCAGCCUCGUCUUCUCGGCUACUCGGCGCCGACCUCCGUAG